rfam:Blastomyces gilchristii SLH14081 mitochondrial scaffold supercont1.101, whole genome shotgun sequence.
CCAGAUAACCCAUUAUCUGAGCUCAGACGGUAUGCAUUAGAAGUAAUUCUUUUGUGUAAAGCCCGUUUAAUUUGGUAAACAGACCAACCAACCUAUAUAUAAGGAUGGUGAGCUAUAUUACUAUGGAUAAA